rnacentral:lncRNA from 7 species
AUCACGGGUGAAUCAACGGGAUAAGCAUACGAAUGAAAUCAAGACAGGUCGCCAAGAAAGACAAAGAACGCGUACAGUCCGAAUACUCGACGCACCUGCUCACCGUGCCGGAAGCAUAAUAAUGGCCGCUUUUCCGCAUGGCGCAUCUCACUCUCACCGGAAAGCAGCAACCAGUUUCCAGCCGUGCACCGCCCUAACAAUAAUAAAUCCACCGUCGCCGCAGCUGAGACGAAGACAAUAAAUAGAAUGCUAAACUCUCCUGCCAACACGUCGC